rnacentral:rRNA from 1 species
UACAUGGGGUGCAAACGUUGCUCGGAAUUAUUGGGCGUAAAGCGCACGUAGGCGGUCCGUUAAGUCGGAUGUGAAAGCCCUCGGCUCAACUGAGGAAGUGCACCCGAAACUGGCGAGCUUGAGUACGAAAGAGGAUCGCGGAAUUCCCGGUGUAGAGGUGAAAUUCGUAGAUAUCGGGAGGAACACCGGCGGCGAAGGCGGCGAUCUGGGUCGAUACUGACGCUGAGGUGCGAAAGCGUGGGGAGCAAACAGG